UCCGGGUGAAGUUGGCGGCUCCCCUGCCUACUACCACCACUUAGGUCAACUACUCUCAGCCCAUGAGGUCAUGAUAUGGCUCACCCGUUUCUCAUUGUUGAGGUUGAGGCCAUUAGGCGCCCGCGCCACUCUUGUGGGCCCCCGAGCGCCGCGACUAGCCUAGGUUACAAAACCUAAAUCCAUCGCCUGAAGGCUCAAUCAAACUCGCAUUCAGCCCAAUUCGACUUCCACGGCCCAUGAUGUUGUUGCUGCUCGUGCCGCCGCCGCUCAUCUUCCUCCUCUUGCCGGGGUUUCGGGGGUUAGGGUUCGGGCUUCAGGGUCGGGGGUCGUCGCCGGUGAUGUUCUCCGGUAGGAGAGGGAGGGCCCGGGGACGGUGGUGGACCGGUGGUGGCGAUGGGUUGUGGGCAGGGCGUCGAGGCGGCGGGACGCCGCCGGCCGCGGGUUGUGGAGGACCCCCAGUGGGCGGCGGAGGCGGCACCGGCGAGGUUCCAGCGGAGGUAGGUGGUGGAGGCGCAUCCGGUACCGGAGACGGAGCUUCGGGCGGCGGAGGGUGGCUGCGCAUUCAACGGUGGGAGCCGAAGGCGGUGGUGGAGGGCGGGGGCGAGCAGCUCCAAUGGCAGAGGUCGGUGGCGGCGAAUCCUGCAGCUCCCGCCGCCGGAGAUGAAGGGUGGAGGGCGGAAUAGGGGCGAGCGGAGCGACGACGGGGAACGCGUGAGGAAGAAGAAGACCCUCAUGGGCCGCUGAAGCCGCUCUUCAGGUGAUGGAUGAAGGCCUGAAAAAUACAAAGGAGCAAACCAAGCUCAAGACUGAAGGUAACCAAAUAGCAAAAGGUAUGCUCGUUUCUUUCUAUCCUCAGUUUAAUGCAGUGGGAACGGAACAUUAUUGAUUUCAACUAAACUUUUUAACUGUAACAAUUGAUAUAUUAAAUUUUAGUACAGAAUUUAUGCCUACCCAGUUUAAAAACAUAUCAGCUCUUCCUAACAGAUUUAGCAAUUAAAACAUGUUAUGGAAAAUGGAUGUAAUUUCUUUUUCCCAUGUUCUUUUUCAUGUACUUAAAAUUCAGUACAAGGAUUUGUCAUUUCUGAAAAAUGGCUAUAAUUUCAUUUUUUCCUGUGUUCUUUUCCAUGUAUUUUAAAUGUGACUAUGUAAUCCCCCCCCCUCACCUUUAUUAAGGUAAUACAUCUUAUAAUUCUUAUACUUUUUAUGCUGCAAUUACUCAUAUUGUUAAGUUUUUUUAACCCACUGAUCAAUCUGGGUUUAAUAACAUAGUAAAUAUUCAAAAUGUUAAAUAAAAAAAGAGAGAAACCUAUAGAAGAAAUUGAAGAUAGUGCACUGACUAGCAAGAAAAGAAGGUGCAUCAGACAACAAAAAGUUCAAGAUAAAAAACGAAAGAAAAAAGAAAGCAGUGGAAUUGAAAAUAAAGAUGCCAUAGCAAAGCGAAGAUGUCUAAAUAUUGAUUGUAGGCAUUCAUAUCUAUUAUUCUUUACCACAUUGUAUGGUAUAUUUUACACCAGAAUAUAUCAAAUAUUUAGAAGAAUCAUACAAUAAAAGAUCAUACUUUGGAUUACCAGAAUACUGCUGCAGAUACCGCCAUGCAAUAUUUUGGUUUCAGGAGCGAAACAAAAAGAUACUAAAAGUAAUAAAAAACAAAUUUUGUACUCUAACUGUUGCAAAUAUGCAAAGACCAAGCAGUAAGAUAUGCACAUUCACCUAACAUGUCCACCAGCUAGCCUAGGUAUUAUCACUAAUAUAAGAAAGAUAUGACCAUUUUAGUGAACAAUUGUGCUUCAGGAUUCCUCACAAGUCCUUGACAACAUAUAUUAUCCUAUUUGCAUACUUCAAAUUCUAUUCUAAAUUCAAAACGGUAGAUUAACUAUUUCAUUUAAUUUUGUUGUUAUGUGCUUUUCAGGGUAUAUUAUCCUUCAGAAUUUUAAAAAACUACAUAUGGAAUGCUUUGCUUUUGGACAGAAACUACCAGCUACCCCUACAUAUGAACAAAUAGGAGCAGAACAUCAGUAUUGCCAUUAUCACCAACGGAAGUACUGCCACACCCAAAAAAUCACCCUUUUGCUGUAUAUAUUGCAUCUUAUCAACCCUACCUCUUGUCAAACUAAUGUCAACAAUAUGUGAAAAAAAGGUGGACCUUUUGCUAAGCCCCUAGGGGAACAAUUUCCACCUUCAACCUAAAAUCUGAGAUGGUGUGGAUUCAUGUUUGUAUAUUUUUCUUAAACUUCUAUCCUCAAACAGAGUGACUAUGCUCAUCUCAUGAGCUUGCAAUUCAUCCAUUUUCCUA